AGUGAACGCUGGCGGUAGGCCUAACACAUGCAAGUCGAACGGCAGCACAGUAAGAGCUUGCUCUUACGGGUGGCGAGUGGCGGACGGGUGAGGAAUACAUCGGAAUCUACUUUUUCGUGGGGGAUAACGUAGGGAAACUUACGCUAAUACCGCAUACGACCUACGGGUGAAAGCAGGGGAUCUUCGGACCUUGCGCGAUUGAAUGAGCCGAUGUCGGAUUAGCUAGUUGGCGGGGUAAAGGCCCACCAAGGCGACGAUCCGUAGCUGGUCUGAGAGGAUGAUCAGCCACACUGGAACUGAGACACGGUCCAGACGCCUAAGGGAGGCAGCAGUGGGGAAUAUUGGACAAUGGGCGCAAGCAUGAUCCAGCCAUACCGCGUGGGUGAAGAAGGCCUUCGGGUUGUAAAGACCUUUUGUUGGGAAAGAAAAGCAGCAGGUUAAUACCACGCUGUUCUGACGGUACCCAAAGAAUAAGCACCGGCUAACUUCGUG
rnacentral:rRNA from 1 species